UACGUAGGGGCUAGCGUUAUCCGGAAUUACUGGGCGUAAAGGGUGCGUAGGCGGUCUUUCAAGCCAGAAGUGAAAGGCUACGGCUCAACCGUAGUAAGCUUUUGGAACUGUAAGACUUGAGUGCAGGAGAGGAGAGUGGAAUUCCUAGUGUAGCGGUGAAAUGCGUAGAUAUUAGGAGGAAUACCAGUGGCGAAGGCGACUUUCUGGACUUAUACUGACGCUGAGGAACGAAAGCGUGGGGAGCAAACAGGAUUAGAUACCCUGGUAGUCCCUGAG
rnacentral:rRNA from 1 species